UACGUAUGGUGCAAGCGUUAUCCGGAUUUACUGGGUGUAAAGGGUGAGCAGGCGGUUAUGCAAGUCAUACGUGAAAUGUCGGGGCUUAACCCCGGCCUGCGUAAGAAACUGUAUAACUUGAGUGCAGGAGAGGCAAGCGGAAUUCCCAGUGUAGCGGUGAAAUGCGUAGAUAUUGGGAAGAACACCGGUGGCGAAGGCGGCUUGCUGGACUGUAACUGACGCUGAGUCACGAAAGCGUGGGGAGC
rnacentral:rRNA from 1 species